UAAAACCAGUGUUUCUGGUUCUUUGCACUGUAUCCUACUCCAUGAGAGGACCCGGGGAGGAAGCAAGACACAGGAAUGAAUACUUGCUAUACCAGAGAGUUGGAAGGAAGAGGAGGACAUAAUCAUCUUUUGCUUGGCUGAUAUUUUAUAUAAUUCUUAGCCUGGAACAUGCUGUCAUGCAAAGAAGAGAUCUAUGUCAUAAAGCCUUGUUAACAGGAUUCAGGAUCAGAGUCUCCCAUCAGUUAAAGCCUCAAAGAGUUUCUAAAGCCCCAGAAAAUCUCAUAACCGGUGCUCUGACUCAACAUGAAAGUGCAAGGGAGUUAAUACAACCCUCAUCCAAUGGGGUAGGAGUCUCCAGCCUUCCCUCCUUCUAAUGAACAAUUUUAAGGUACAUUGCAUAUGGUUCCUCACAGUCCUUAGCAGGAUCGGUCCAGUUGCCCAUAGCUGUAAUUCCCCCAUCAGUCUCAUCAGUCUAUUGUUUUCUGGGAUCACUUACC